rnacentral:rRNA from 1 species
UACGUAGGGUGCGAGCGUUAAUCGGAAUUACUGGGCGUAAAGCGUGCGCAGGCGGUUAGCCGUGUCCGAUGUGAAAGCCCCGGGCUCAACCUGGGAAUGGCAUUGGAAACUGGCUGGCUGGAGUGUGGCAGAGGGGGGUGGAAUUCCACGUGUAGCAGUGAAAUGCGUAGAGAUGUGGAGGAACACCGAUGGCGAAGGCAGCCCCCUGGGCCAACACUGACGCUCAGGCACGAAAGCGUGGGAGCAAACAGG